UUCACAACAUUCCCCCUCCAAUUAAUCCCCAGCCACCCCGCUGUGUGUGAAUGGGUUGUGCUGGGGAUUCGUAGCUCUGAUGCGGGGGAUUUGCUGAUUCCUUUGAGCCCCCUGAGGAGAGGUGAUAUGGAGAGCAAAUAAUCAGCAUGCAGCACGGAGGCGAGGGAGGACAAAGAGGCUUAGAAAUUCCUAACCAGCACGGGGUCACAGACUGGAAGUGGUAACUGAAUUCCACCACCUUCAGUUGCUUGCCUGCUGGAAUGACAUGGAUUCUCAUCCCUGAGGAAGUAAUUCUGGAUUCCUUCUCAUGAUAAUGAAGAUCAGUUACCCUUGACAAGACAAUAACUCCUUUCUUGCCUAUUGUUUCCUGGUAUAAGGAGCUCAAAGUGAACAGGAUUCUGCAUUGCCUGCAGCCCUGGGAGACAGAGCAAGUUCAGAAACCUGGUUUAUGCUAGUUUUACAAAGGAGAAAACAGGAUUGGAGAAAUUAAAUUGGAGAAUUUGUGGCACAUUGACUGAACAAAACACAGUCUUGUUCUUAUGACUCCUUGCCGGUGUGAUGUGGAAUUACACUCUCCUGAGGACAUGGUCAGCACUUAAAGCCCCUUCGUUCUCAAUGUCCAGAGAAAGCUGUUUCCAAGCUCUUCCUCACCAGCCAUGGUGGCCUCCUGGUCUUUGCUGGGAAUCUGGGAGGCAGACACAAUAGCUAGACAACCUCAAGGCUGGCUAGAAUUCUGUUCCUUCUGGCUUACCAAAGGGCAAACCCAGGGUCAGUAGGUCCUUCCCAGUGUUGGAUGGUCACUUUCAACCAGCCCACAGAUACACUGUGGAAGCAAACCUCAAGAGCAGCAAAGCCUGUACAAAGAGGUAAUUCAUACACAAGGGUAGUUCUGUGGUAGUUGGUAGACCCCCAGUGGGACAUGUAAGUUCAUCACCAGCCUGAAUUGAGUUAUGAGAAAGUUAAAAUCAUCACCAUCAUCAUUAGUGAUACAAAGAUGGUAGGGAAGAAGAGAGCUGUUCUGAGUUAUUCUUGUUUCCCAGCAUUUUGUGAGGUGUCCUAUCUCUAGGCCUUUGUAUAUACUUCUCUCUUCUGUCGUGUCUCUCUUCCACGUAGGAAAAUCUUUUAACACUGUCAAGAUUCAACUCAAAUGUUCUUUCUUCCAAGCUUUCCUUGACUCCCUUCACUUUAGUGAAGGAGGUACACUCUCCUUUGUAUGCCUUGGGGCUUGGUGCCUGUCCUGGUUUUUGUCUUCCUCUAUUAUACUCUAAUUGAUACUCUAUUAUAUCAUGUGCCUUCCUGUUCUCAGCCUUAGAUGAAGAGUAUCUUGAGGAGCUCAGUUGAACUGUUGAUUCAUCUCUACAUCCCAGUACAUAGUACAGUGACCGGCAUGGAGAAGGAGAAGUGGCUCAUAAUAAAUAUUCCAUUAAUGAGCAAGGAAUGAGUAAAAGAAGAAUGAAGAGAGACCAGCCUCCAGAGGAAACUUUGAAGUUUCCUCUCACCCUAUUCCUGUAUCCCCCAGUUGGCCUGGGUUGCCACACCCUUUGUGGGAUCUGUGCUAUUUCUAGCCCAUUUUUCAAAAACAUUUUUAUUAUAGGUUGAAACAUGCAACUUUGAAAAUUGUCUUUCAAGUUCAUGGCCUUCAACCCUAGAAUUAGGUUGCAAAUAUGUGUCUUUGGUUGCUAGUAAUGAAAAAAAGAUUGAAUGGGGAGAACUUUCCAUGGGAAGGACAUAUAAUAAUGUUACAAAGAGCAGUCUUUAUAACAUUGCAAGGGAAUAUCAUAUUUUUUUCCAAAUGCUUUACAAGGAUGUUGGGGAAGAGUAUGACCUUAGGCCUCACCAAUUCUUUCUCUAUGGUUCUACGUAUUGACUUGCAAAGAGGCCACACUGCAUUGCUCUUCGCCAAGGUAAGCACUUAGAAAUGCAUUUGUUCAUGUCCUGCCUCCCAUAUUUGUGAACCAAACUCAUUUCAUACUUCCUUCUUAUCUCUGAGCAAAGAAUUUACUGAGAUAAACAGAUACAUAGCAUGUCCCAAAAGCACAAUGCACCUCUUUCACAAACUUGAUCUCCCUUUCUCCUAACAUACAAACCUCUUCUAGAAAUAUACUUGUUCCACUGUUAGUGUUCCCUGGAAAGCAGUCCUACCUCAAAUUCAACACACACCCAGAUAUUUUUGGAAAAUUUUUGUUGUCUUGUACCUGAUUAGGUUUGGUAGUAUUGAAGGGUGUUAAAAUUUAGCCUCCCUUAGUGCAUCAAUUCAGGGUAAAUCCACAUUUCGUGCUCUCACAUAAAAACUUAAUGCAGUGUAGACCCUUGUGUGUGUGACUGUUUCUUCCAUGACCUUGAAGGUAGAGAGUGGGUCUAGUUCCCUUCCUGAUACCCACGGCCUAAUUCUGGGCCUGACAUCAAAAAGGUACUUGAUAAAAUGUGACUUUUAACUUUGAGCACUUAGAAGCACAUGACUGUGUUUAGCACCUGAAGGGCAAGUGUUAGCAGAAGGAUGAAAAAUUGGGGAUGUUUGGGCAGCAUUUGAGAAUUAUUGGUAGCCAGGAAGAUCUCUUCAAUGAGGAAAGGCAAGGCAGCUAGUGGAAGACAGUCAAAUGGGGCAGAGGAACUUGAAAAAGGGAAUAGACAAAGAACCACUGUCAGGCUGGGCUCUUCCUCCUUACCUGUCCUCAGCUCUAGGACCCAUUGAACUUCUUUGGGUUUUUCUUUGUAGUCCCACCUGCUCCAAUUCUGGCCAGGAGAGUUGCAGUGCAGGAUGAGUAAUUGUAAGCAGGUGGAGAACAGUAACUGAAUGUAAAGUUUAGGAAUUUAGUCAAGAAUUUUGAAGUUCUGUUAAAAUGUCAGGCUGCACUAUGAUAUUUCACUGCUCAAGGAGUAGACCUUCUAAAUGACUAAUCAUCUUUCCUCUGUAAAAUGUAGUAUGCUCCAGUGGAAACAGCCCAUGAACAACAGCCUGGUGUUCCAUUUCUCCAAGGUCUGCCAGAAUUGCUGCUGGGUUGAUUUGGAGGAUUGGCUGGGUUGGGCUAAGGUUAAGCCAAGAAGAUUUUUUUCAAAGUGGCAUUUGGGGGUAACUACGGUAUGUUCCCAAACAACAGAUGAUGAAGACAAAGAGAUGUGAUCGUAAAGGUAUGUGACCUCAAAGGUAUCUAACUUUGGUCUUUUGCCAGAUUCUUAUUUGUCAAAAUAUCCCAGAGAAUGUCAACCAAAGGUCAUGUUGGAAGAAAAAUUACAAUUUGCCAAAUUUGUUUUUAACUUCAGUUUUUUAAGAAGUAGGAAAUAAACAGUGGUUAGACUGAAGGUGUCUUUUUGUUUAAUUGUGAAGACACUUUUAGAAUAUCUUAAAUGCCUUCCAAAAUUUGGUAGUUAAUAUUUAAAGUAUAAAUAUUUAAGCAAAAUAAGAAACUUGCCUAUUGGGCAAAAUGAGAAAUUUUGAACUCUUCCUUUGAGUUCAGAGUGUACCAUCUGUAACUCUGUACCCGAGUUCUUGGCAUGUAGUGGGAGUUCAUAAACAUUUGGCGAGUGAGUGGGGAAGCUAAAAACCAACUGCAUUAUGCAAUCCUGCUCUGCUAUUUCAGUUGGAAGCAGAUAGUUGGUUAUACCUAAUGGAGCCUUAACAUUGUGAUUCUUUUGCUAUAAAAGUAGAUAGAGUGAGAAGACAGGCACAACUUUAAACUACCUAUUCUCAACAGCAAGAAGACUAUUUUAUUAGAAAUGCGUGUGUGUACUUGUGUUUGUAGGAAAAGCUUACAAUGCAACAGAACCAGCUUUCUGAAAAUUGGCCAUGCAAUCUUUGUAAUCAGUACUUCAUGUGCUUGUCGUCGUUACAAAUGGGUGAGCAGAUAACUCCAAGAUUCUAUAAGGCCACAGUGAUUUAAUUAAACUAAUGGUGGUAUCAUUUUGCAUUUUUCUUGAUUGCAAAGUCAUAUAUUUUUUAAUUGUACAAAAUAAAAAAGCAGAAAGAAAUGAAAACUCAGAGUCACUACUAUUGAUACGUUUUUAGAGUAUUUUUAGUGCAAAGAUAUGUAAUAGGCAGAAUUCCAAGAUGGGGUUAUUCUUGUGAUUAUGUGAUGUUACCUGGAAAAAGGAAUUUUACAGAGGUAGUUAAGUUACUAAUCAGUUGACCUUAAAAUAAGGACAUUAUUCAGGUGUGGGCCUAACCUAAUGAUAGGAAUCCUUUAAAAGCAAAGUUUUCUUUCCCUAGUUGAAGAAGUAAAAGUCAGAGAUUCAAAACAUGAGAGGAAUUCAACAUUCCAGCCAACAUUGCUGGCUUGAAGAUGGAGAGAUCCACAAGUUGAAGAAUUUGAGUGAUGGGGCGCCUGGGUGACUCAGUCAGUUUAGCAUCCAACUCUUGAUUUCAGCUCAGGUCAUGAUCUCAUGGUUCCUGAGAUUGAGCCCCACAUUGGGCUCUGCACUGACAACUCGGAACCUACUUGAGAUUUUCUUCUUCCCUCUCUCUGCCCCCACUUGCGUGCACAUACUCUCCCUCUCUCUCUCUCAAAAUAAAUAAUUUU